rnacentral:lncRNA from 1 species
AAUUCAAGUGACCUUAUCUUUGUCCCCUCCAUAAUAAGAAACUUUCUUUGUGGGUCCAAUCACCACAUGAAUCUGCUUAGUGCUUCUCCUUGGGCUACAAUCUUUUUUUAAUUUUUCUUUUCCUGCAUAAAAAAGAGGAACUUUUACGCAAGUUAUUUAUUUUUUAGUCGGUAUACAUAAACUAUAAUGAGAAUAUAUGAUUAUAUAUAUAAUAUACAUAAAUUAUAUAUAUAGUAUAUACCGCGAUUAUUUCUAGUUUAUGCGAUUAGAUGAACAAUUGUUAUUAUAGCUCAUCAAAUUGCCUUUAAUUAAUUAAUUAGUCACUACUAUAAAAAAAAAGUCUUUCUUUUUCAUGGAAAUUAUUAUUUCUCAAUAAGGAAGAGUCAUUUGUACAAUUAUUUCACAUAUUAAGAUCCAUCAUUUAUUGGUACCUAUCUUCCUAAGUUCCUUUUAUUACUACCAUUAUUAUGACAUUAUUAUUUGUUAGUACUAUCUACUUCUUUUUUCUUAAUAUUUUAUUCAACUCCGACUAAAACGUACCUAGCUGAAGGAUCAGAUCAGUUGACGAGCUGUUCUUUCUGCUCAGAAGCAUUUGCAUCUGCAGCUGCUGGUUGUGAUUUUGAUUGGGUUUUUGGUAUUUCAUCUUCCAUCUUCUUUAGGUUUUGUUGAUA